UCGUGUUUUUGCGGUGGCUGUGGUGGAUGCGGUGGCGGAUCAGCGAUUAGUUAAGAGUUUUUCAAAGCGACGCAAUACGCUAUACGUAGAGAGUAUUUUCGCAUCUUUUUUGCUGAAUGCUGCGAACGAAGUUGAAAAAUUUUCAAGUAGCGAGCACAUACGACCUUGAAAGAUAUUUUGAUAUUUUAAGCGCUAUUCUUGAAAAGGUAUUUUCGUUUUUAUAUUCGACCACUAAACACGAGCGGAAAAUAGGUAAUACGAACAAUGAGUAGAUAUUUUCGACGCGGCUGCACGCUUUAAAAAAUUAAAGUGUACUUAAAGGACCUAUAGAAGGUGUUUCUACGUGUUUCAUCGCCUCCAUCGUCGCAUUGGUUAAUAUUCGUACAUAAUCGCUAAUUUCAUUUUGAUAAAUUGUUUCGGACGUUUAUUUAUUUAUUCUUUACACUAGCUAUUGUACAGCAGUGCAAUGUGAACGAAGGACGUUCGGUGCUAGAAAAGAUACGUUUGCUGAUAGGUAGCUACAAUUUUUCGUUUCCAGAUGUUUUCUCUCGUUAAUGGUUCGAAGAUUGGAUACUUUGAUUUCAGAUAUCUAUGACGUUUCUGAAUUCGAUUGCAUGGUAACGUACUGCAGCAGAAAACAUAGAAAAGGUAAAUAUGCGUAAUGCCAAGAUUGCCCAAAGAAUCGUAUUCUUGUCAAAAUUGUUAAAAAUUCCAAUUAUUUGCCAAAAUUAUCAGAGUGACAAUUUUAUCAAAUGAGUUGACCAUCUCAGAUAAAACUUGAAAGUUUGUAUAGUUUGUUGCAAAAAAAAAAAAAAAAUUGGAUCCCGAAAAAAAUUUCAUCUUAAAAUGCAAUAGGUACAAAAAAUAUACAUGAUGUCAUCUUUCAAAUAUCAUCCAGCGAAAAUUACAUAUCUGAUAUAAUAAGUUACCUACCUUCCCUAGUACUUAGCAGUGUUCUGAAAAGUAUUCAGUGAUCAGAACAGAUAAAGUAUCUUGAUAAGUUUCCCACUUAUUUAACAAGUUGAAUAAUAAUCUAAAUAAUGCAUUAACAAAGAUGGAAUUGCAGGUAAAAUACUCAUAAAACGUAUAUGUUAUUUAAUUGUCUAUGUCUAUGAAUCAUUAUGUUGAGUACGUACUUAUCUCCAUUAAGUAAUGUACUGAAACGGAACUACAGAAGUGGGUUUUUUGAAGUUAUAUUAGGCCAAGAGAGAAAAUUCAUUUAUCAAUUUUUUUUUGGCUUGAUUUUUUCCCACUCGUUAACGGCAAAAUCUCGUUAAUGGUUUAACAUUUAAUCUAUCUAUAUAUCGUACGUUAUUCAUAUAGGUACGAACAAAAACCAAGAGGUGGCCGGAGGGGCAUCAUUUUGAUAUUUUAUAAUUUUUGUUCUUGACUGAAAAGAAACUUUUUUUUCGAGAGCGUGUUUGUAUAUGUACCUACUACAAGUAUUUCGCUUCUGGUGAGAAUAAUAAUUCAUCUUCCCCCUCAUCCCUUAAUAGUUAAUGGGGGAAAAAACUCAGGAUGACUGAAAACGUUUCUUGCUUGUCCUUUUGCGCGUUUUGUCGUUUCAUUCGAUCACGUUUAAAUAUUUAACCGAGUAGAUAAUGAAUAAUGAUGAACUUACAACUUGAUAAACCCUUUAUUUUCCCCUUUCCCUGUGUUUUUGUAAGUACGAAAUCGAAUAAUUGUUGUUAACCAAGCUAUCGACUUAUCGUACCUAUUUGAAAUCGAUUAUCGAUUUCCUCGAACAGAGUAUCGUUUCUGUCUAGUGUCUGUAUAUUUAGAUGACCUGUUCUUCAUUUCAUUCACGUGAUGAUGAAUGAAGCUAUUCAUGUCAGAUCAUCACUCGGAGGUCAUCAUUAACACGUUGUUUGUCAAAUGAAUGGAUGUUUAGUUGCCUACGAGCCUACACUUCGCAUGCGGUGUAAUAACAUUACCGAGUAAAAAAUUAUGAAACAAUUGCAUUCUCGCUUAUACCUACCUACCUACCACGUUCAACACUCUUCGUCUGUAUAUACAAACUACUAGCACUUGGUACAUACUUACUAUACUGACCUACCUCUGUGCAGCGAAUUUAUUCGUUUCAUUUUAUUACAUACCAAUCAAAGAUUACGCAAUGUUGAAAUAAUUAACUUUUAUUCGAACAAAUUUACAAGUAUAGGUACACAUUGUAAAAUAGCUAAAAUUCUAAUUACUUACACGGAAUAAAAAUGUUUCUAAAUGCGUUUUUCAAAUAAAUAGCACACGAUGAAUUCUUUUCAAAAAAGUAAAAAUACAAAACAUCAUACAUUAGGUAGGUCUAGGUACACGUUACGUAUGUAUGUAAAUUUCGAGUCAUUUUUUUUUUCUUGUACCAUGAAGAUAAUUCACAGCGCGUCUCUACAUGAAA